GACGAACGCUGGCGGCGUGCUUAACACAUGCAAGUCGAACGGAAAGGCCCCUUUGGGGGUACUCGAGUGGCGAACGGGUGAGUGACACGUGAGUAACCUGCCCUUGACUUCGGGAUAACUUCAGGAAACUGGGGCUAAUACCGGAUAGGAAUCCUUGCUGCAUGGUGGGGGUUGGAAAGCUUCGGCGGUUUUGGAUGGACUCGCGGCUUAUCAGCUUGUUGGUGGGGUAGUGGCUUACCAAGGCUUUGACGGGUAGCCGGCCUGAGAGGGCGACCGGCCACAUUGGGACUGCGAUACGGCCCAGACUCCUACGGGAGGCAGCAGGGGGGAAUAUUGCACAAUGGGCGGAAGCCUGAUGCAGCAACGCCGCGUGCGGGAUGACGGCCUUCGGGUUGUAAACCGCUUUCAGCAGGGGCGAAGCUUGUGGUGACGGUACCUGCAGAAGAAGCACCGGCUAACUACGUG
rnacentral:rRNA from 1 species